rnacentral:lncRNA from 1 species
AAGUUCAUUGUGGUCCAACAUCCUGAUCUUCUUGAGAGCUGGCACGUGUGACUCCGCAGGGUGCAUUCUUCAAACCUUCAUUUCAAGCAGCUUCACAGCAGCUUCUUGUUCUAC